rnacentral:rRNA from 1 species
UACGGAGGGUGCAAGCGUUAUCCGGGUUCACUGGGUUUAAAGGGUGCGUCGGCGGAAUUAUAAGUCAGUGGUGAAAGCCCCGAGCUCAACUUGGGAACUGCCAUUGAUACUGUUUUUCUUGCGUGUGGUUGAAGUGGGCGGAAUAUGACAUGUAGCGGUGAAAUGCUUAGAUAUGUCAUAGAACACCGAUUGCGAAGGCAGCUCACUAAACCAUUACUGACGCUGAGGCACGAAAGCGUGGGGAGCGAACAGG